rnacentral:rRNA from 1 species
GCGGCGAACGGGUGAGUAACACGCUAAAGAACCUGCCUCAUAGACUGGGACAACUAUUGGAAACGAUAGCUAAUACCGGAUAACAGUAUUUCUCGCAUGAGAGAUAUUUAAAAGUUGGUUAUGCUAACACUAUGAGAUGGCUUUGCGGUGCAUUAGCUAGUUGGUGGGGUAAAGGCCUACCAAGGCGACGAUGCAUAGCCGACCUGAGAGGGUGAUCGGCCACACUGGGACUGAGACACGGCCCAGACUCCUACGGGAGGCAGCAGUAGGGAAUCUUCCGCAAUGGGCGAAAGCCUGACGGAGCAACGCCGCGUGAGUGAAGAAGGAUUUCGGUUCGUAAAGCUCUGUUGUUAGGGAAGAAUGGAUAUGUAGUAACUAUACAUGUAAGAGACGGUACCUAACCAGAAAGCCACGGCUAACUACGUGCC